rnacentral:misc_RNA from 1 species
GUAUUAAAGUUUAAAGGCAUUCAAAAGCCCAACAACAAACAUUCUGAGACAUACUAUAGGGGUGUAUAUAUAUAAAAACAUAGACCGGAAGUACAAGGAAAGCUGGCUUUGCGCACAGCAGUCCUCAAACCGAGUUUCCUCGAGAGUUUAUCCAGGUCUACAGAAGGUGCACAGGUGGUAAAAAGGUUGGUGUUAAGCGUGCACAUGCUCCGAAGAGCCAGCAACAACCUAACCAAGCUUAUUCAAUAAUGAUCCUUCCGCAGGUUCACCUACGGAAA